GAUGAAGAACGCAGCGAAAUGCGAUAAGUAAUGUGAAUUGCAGAAUCCAGUGAAUCAUCGAAUCUUUGAACGCACAUUGCGCCCGCCAGCAUUCUGGCGGGCAUGCCUGUUCGAGCGUCAUUUCAACCCUCGACCUCCCUUUGGGGAAGUCGGCGUUGGGGACCGGCAGCACACCGCCGGCCCUGAAAUGGAGUGGCGGCCCGUCCGCGGCGACCUCUGCGUAGUAAACCAACUCGCACCGGAACCCCGACGUGGCCACGCCGUAAAACACCCAACAUCUGAACGUUGACCUCGAAUCAGGUAGGACUACCCGCUGAACUUAAGCAUAUCAAUAAGCGGAGGA
rnacentral:misc_RNA from 1 species